rnacentral:rRNA from 1 species
AUUGAACGCUGGCGGCAUGCCUUACACAUGCAAGUCGAACGGUAACAGGUUAAGCUGACGAGUGGCGAACGGGUGAGUAAUGUAUCGGAACGUGCCCAGUCGUGGGGGAUAACUGCUCGAAAGAGCAGCUAAUACCGCAUACGAUCUACGGAUGAAAGCGGGGGAUCGCAAGACCUCGCGCGAUUGGAGCGGCCGAUAUCUGAUUAGCUAGUUGGUGGGGUAAAGGCCCACCAAGGCGACGAUCAGUAGCUGGCCUGAGAGGACGACCAGCCAAACUGGGACUGAGAAACGGCCCAGACUCCUACGGGAGGCAGCAGUGGGGAAUUUUGGACAAUGGGGGCAACCCUGAUCCAGCCAUGCCGCGUGCAGGAAGAAGGCCUUCGGGUUGCAAACUGCUUUUGUCAGGGAAGAAAUCCUUUGGGCUAAUACCCUGAGGGGAUGACGGUACCUGAAGAAUAAGCACCGGCUAACUACGUGCCAGCCGCCGCAGUAA